GACGAACGCUGGCGGCGUGCUUAACACAUGCAAGUCGAACGGAAAGGCCCUGCUUUUGUGGGGUGCUCGAGUGGCGAACGGGUGAGUAACACGUGAGUAACCUGCCCUUGACUUUGGGAUAACUUCAGGAAACUGGGGCUAAUACCGGAUAGGAGCUCCUGCUGCAUGGUGGGGGUUGGAAAGUUUCGGCGGUUGGGGAUGGACUCGCGGCUUAUCAGCUUGUUGGUGGGGUAGUGGCUUACCAAGGCUUUGACGGGUAGCCGGCCUGAGAGGGUGACCGGCCACAUUGGGACUGAGAUACGGCCCAGACUCCUACGGGAGGCAGCAGUGGGGAAUAUUGCACAAUGGGCGGAAGCCUGAUGCAGCAACGCCGCGUGCGGGAGGACGGCCUUCGGGUUGUAAACCGCUUUCGCCUGUGACGAAGCGUGAGGGACGGUAAUGGGUAAAGAAGCACCGGCUAACUACGU
rnacentral:rRNA from 1 species